rnacentral:rRNA from 1 species
CAGCAGCCGCGGGAAUACGAAGGGUGCAAGCGUUAAUCGGAAUUACUGGGCGUAAAGCGUGCGUAGGCGGUUUGUUAAGUCUGUUGUGAAAUCCCCGGGCUCAACCUGGGAAUGGCAAUGGAUACUGGCAAGCUAGAGUGUGUCAGAGGAUGGUGGAAUUCCCGGUGUAGCGGUGAAAUGCGUAGAGAUCGGGAGGAACAUCAGUGGCGAAGGCGGCCAUCUGGGACAACACUGACGCUGAGGCACGAAAGCGUGGGGAGCAAACAGGAUUAGAUACCCCCGUAGUCCCUGUCUCUUAUAA